AGAGUUUGAUCAUGGCUCAGAUUGAACGCUGGCGGCAGGCCUAACACAUGCAAGUCGAACGGUAACAGGAAGAAGCUUGCUUCUUUGCUGACGAGUGGCGGACGGGUGAGUAAUGUCUGGGAAACUGCCUGAUGGAGGGGGAUAACUACUGGAAACGGUAGCUAAUACCGCAUAACGUCGCAAGACCAAAGAGGGGGACCUUCGGGCCUCUUGCCAUCGGAUGUGCCCAGAUGGGAUUAGCUUGUUGGUGGGGUAACGGCUCACCAAGGCGACGAUCCCUAGCUGGUCUGAGAGGAUGACCAGCCACACUGGAACUGAGACACGGUCCAGACUCCUACGGGAGGCAGCAGUGGGGAAUAUUGCACAAUGGGCGCAAGCCUGAUGCAGCCAUGCCGCGUGUAUGAAGAAGGCCUUCGGGUUGUAAAGUACUUUCAGCGGGGAGGAAGGGAGUAAAGUUAAUACCUUUGCUCAUUGACGUUACCCGCAGAAGAAGCACCGGCUAACUCCGUGCCAGCAGCCGCGGUAAUACGGAGGGUGCAAGCGUUAAUCGGAAUUACUGGGCGUAAAGCGCACGCAGGCGGUUUGUUAAGUCAGAUGUGAAAUCCCCGGGCUCAACCUGGGAACUGCAUCUGAUACUGGCAAGCUUGAGUCUCGUAGAGGGGGGUAGAAUUCCAGGUGUAGCGGUGAAAUGCGUAGAGAUCUGGAGGAAUACCGGUGGCGAAGGCGGCCCCCUGGACGAAGACUGACGCUCAGGUGCGAAAGCGUGGGGAGCAAACAGGAUUAGAUACCCUGGUAGUCCACGCCGUAAACGAUGUCGACUUGGAGGUUGUGCCCUUGAGGCGUGGCUUCCGGAGCUAACGCGUUAAGUCGACCGCCUGGGGAGUACGGCCGCAAGGUUAAAACUCAAAUGAAUUGACGGGGGCCCGCACAAGCGGUGGAGCAUGUGGUUUAAUUCGAUGCAACGCGAAGAACCUUACCUGGUCUUGACAUCCACAGAACUUUCCAGAGAUGGAUUGGUGCCUUCGGGAACUGUGAGACAGGUGCUGCAUGGCUGUCGUCAGCUCGUGUUGUGAAAUGUUGGGUUAAGUCCCCGCAAACGAGCGCAACCCUUAUCCUUUGUUGCCAGCGGUCCGGCCGGGAACUCAAAGGAGACUGCCAGUGAUAAACUGGAGGAAGGUGGGGAUGACGUCAAGUCAUCAUGGCCCUUACGACCAGGGCUACACACGUGCUACAAUGGCGCAUACAAAGAGAAGCGACCUCGCGAGAGCAAGCGGACCUCAUAAAGUGCGUCGUAGUCCGGAUUGGAGUCUGCAACUCGACUCCAUGAAGUCGGAAUCGCUAGUAAUCGUGGAUCAGAAUGCCACGGUGAAUACGUUCCCGGGCCUUGUACACACCGCCCGUCACACCAUGGGAGUGGGUUGCAAAAGAAGUAGGUAGCUUAACCUUCGGGAGGGCGCUUACCACUUUGUGAUUCAUGACUGGGGUGAAGUCGUAACAAGGUAACCGUAGGGGAACCUGCGGUUGGAUCACCU
rnacentral:rRNA from 1 species